rnacentral:rRNA from 1 species
UAAUACGUAGGCAGCGAGCGUUGUUCGGAGUUACUGGGCGUAAAGAGUGCGUAGGCGGUUUUCUAAGUUUGGUGUGAAAUCUCCCGGCUUAACUGGGAGGGUGCGCCGAAGACUGGAAGGCUUGAGUAUGGGAGAGGUAAGCGGAAUUCCUGGUGUAGCGGUGAAAUGCGUAGAUAUCAGGAGGAACACCUGCGGUGUAGACGGCUUACUGGACCAUAACUGACGCUGAGGCACGAAAGCGUGGGUAGCAAACAGGAUUAGAUACCCUGGUAGUCCACGCCCUAAACGAUGCAUACUUGGUGUGGGUAGUUCAUUCUAUCCGUGCCGGAGCUAACGCGUUAAGUAUGCCGCCUGGGGAGUACGGUCGCAAGGCUG